CAUGAACUUAGCUUGCUGAGUUUGAUGGCGACCGGCGCACGGGUGAGUAACACGUAUCCAACCUGCCGAUGACUCGGGGAUAGCCUUUCGAAAGAAAGAUUAAUACCCGAUGGCAUAGUUCUUCCGCAUGGUAGAACUAUUAAAGAAUUUCGGUCAUCGAUGGGGAUGCGUUCCAUUAGGUUGUUGGCAGGGCAACGGCCUACCAAGGCGACGAUCAGUAGCCGACCUGAGAGGGUGAACGGCCACAUUGGGACUGAGACACGGUCCAAACUCC
rnacentral:rRNA from 1 species